GAUGAACGCUAGCGGCGUGGAUAAGGCAUGCAAGUCGAACGGUUCGCUUCGGCGAAUAGUGGCAAACGGGUUAGUAACACGUAGAUACACACCCUCUACACAGGCAUAACCCAUUGAAAGAUGGGCUAAUUCCUGAUAGUUCCCGCCUUUUGGCGAGAUAAAGGUUCCCCGCUUAGCGGGGUUCCGGUGGAGGAAUGGUCUGCGGCUUAUCAGCUUGUUGGCGAGGUAAUGGCUCACCAAGGCUAUGACGGGUAGGGGAUAUGAGAGUGUGUUCCCCAACAAGGGCACUGCGACACGGGCCCUACUCCUACGGGAGGCAGCAGUCGAGAAUAUUCGACAAUGGGCGAAAGCCUGAUCGAGCGACGCCGCGUGCUCGAAGAAACCCUUCGGGGUGUAAAGAGCUUUUCUGGAGGAAGAAUCCCGCUUCGGCGGGAUGACGGUACUCCAGGAAUAAGGAGAUGCUAAUCACGUGCCAGCAGCAGCGGUAAUACGUGAUCUCCAAGCGUUAUCCGGAUUUAUUGGGCGUAAAGCGUCCGUAGGCGCACCGCCAGGUUUUCUGUUAAACCCUAGGGCUUAACCCUAGAACUGCAGAAAAAACCGGCGGAGUAGAGGGCGUUAGAGGCUGAUGGAACGGUCGGUGUAGGGGUGAAAUCCGUUGAUAUCGACCGGAACACCAAAUGCGAAGGCAUUCAGCUGGGGCGGCCCUGACGCUGAGGGACGAAAGCGUGGGUAGCAAAAAGGAUUAGAUACCCUUGUAGUCCACGCUGUAAACGAUGGACACUGGCUAUUUGAAGUGUCGACCCUUCAAGUGGCGAAGCUAACGCGUUAAGUGUCCCGCCUGGGAAGUACGACGGCAACGUUAAAACUCAAAGGAAUAGACGGGGCUUCACACAAGCGGUGGAUCAUGUGGCUCAAUUCGACAAUAAACGAAGAACCUUACCAGGGCUUGACAGACUAGUGAAAUCCCGCCGAAAGGCGGGACUCCCACAAGGCACUAGUCCAGGUGCUGCAUGGUUGUCGUCAGCAUGUGCUUUGAAGUGCUCCCUUAAAUGGGGUAACAUGCGCAACCCUCGCUCUAUGUUUUAUAUGUCAUAGAGAACUGCCCGAGAUAAUUGGGAGGAAGGUGAGGAUAACGCCAAAUCAGCAUGGCCCUUUGACGCCCUGGGCUGCACACAUGAUACAAUGGGACCGACAAUGGGCGAAGCCGCAAGGCGGAGGUAAUCCCAUCAAACGGUUCCUAAGUUCGGAUUGAGGUCUGAAACUCGACCUCAUGAAGUCGGAAUCGCUAGUAAUCGCCAAUCAGCUAUGUGGCGAUGAAUAUGUUCCUGAAGCUUGUACUCACCGCCCGUCACAUUAAGGAAGCCGGCAGUAGCCGAAGUC
rnacentral:rRNA from 1 species